rnacentral:lncRNA from 1 species
GUGGUGGAGAAGCUGGGAGUUGUGUGUUAAAUAACACGGACCAAGGAGAGGACAACACGUUUACUAGUCUUCCAAAGACUUCCCAAAAUAAACUUCUAAAAGAAAAGAAGCCAAAUGGGCUCCAGGUCACCUGUGAUAUUUGCUCAGCCUCUUUCCGGUCCAAGCCUGGCCUGACCAGACAUAAAGCUGUCAAGCAUCAGGUAAAGAGUAGUGGCGUAUCACAGGCAAGCAAGACUCCUAGGUCCGAUUUUAUUCCAGUAGACAAAGCAUCAAAAGCAGCCAGAAAGGUCUCUAGGAGGACCCUAAAGACGUCUGUCAAAGAGAAAACCUGCAGCUCACAAAUGCCAACCACCACUGUUGAGUACGUUCCCAAGAAAAUAUGCACAGGCCUGGAGAAAGAACCCAAUGCACAGAUGCAAGAAGUGGUCAGCAGAGUACUCAGUGACCUCAGUGUUAUAUCCUUUGAGAUGUCCCAGGAGCUUCAUCGCACAGGUAUUCUGAACAGAGAGAUGAAGGCAAAGUAUCAGCGCUCGGAGACAAGGGGAGCAGGUGAGGCAAUGGCUGAAAAGCUGGAUCCUGAAAAGCAAGCUGGGAAGGGAGAAAAGGGCAGAAGGAACCAAAGCAAAGAUCCUGGAGGAGUAAACAGCAAUUCUGAAAAACAGCUAAACAGGAAAGUGAGACGAAGGAAAGCAAAGGUAUUUCCCAACAGAAAUGAGCCCGAUGGUCCAUCUGAACUGGAGAAUAAUGUGAAUUCGGAUCCUUCCCCUGCUGUCCUCAGCAGUGUCAGCUCCAAUCUGUCCAAUAUGAUUGAGGGCUUGCAUGAGCCAGGCAGCUGCAUCUCAACAGAGGAACAGAAUCAGCCCAACUCAUCCCAGCACUCUCAAAAAGCAAAACAGUGCCCUUGUGCAGUUGAGCACUCACAGGACCCGGGCAAUAGGAUGGAGUCUUCAAAGGAAAUGGUCAGGAAGGAGUCAAUAAAGGGCACAGUUGCCUGUUCUACAGAGGUGGAAGAUCCAAGUCGAGUGGAAAACACAGAGGCUUGCAAGAAAUGGGUUGGUGGGUUUGCAAAGCAAGUGGAGAAGGGAUUGGGCAAGGUAGGCAAAGAAUGGCAUCUUCAUGGUGAUGGCACAGAUGAAAUGAAUAUUGAGACAAAAGACAGUUCUGCGGGAAACAGCCAGGCUGGGAAUCAGAGCAGUGCCCCACAGGGUCCCACAGGUUCUGGCAAACAGGACCGGCCGCUGGAAAAGCAUGAUUCAGAAACCAUCCAAAAGGAUCCUGUGCAAAGCACACUGCAAAACACUUCUGAUGCCAGCUCUCCCUCCGGAGAGCCUAAGCGCUGGGUGAAGGGAGACUUGCAGCAGAGUAAAGAGCACUGCAUGGACGGUGCAGCUGCCUCAGACCUCCAGAGCUUGUUUGAUGAUGACUCCACAUUCUCCCAGCUGUUUCCGCGGGAUGACCAGUUCAUCCGGAGGAAGUGCACACGGGUGUAUGGGAAGCGCACCAAGAAACCCAAGCCUGUCACCGAGGUAAACAUCCGGCCAGCGGGUGCCAUCGACCUCUUUACUAUCCGAUUAGCUUCUGACCUCAGUGAAACCAGCUCUUUCUGUGUCACUAGGGAGGAUCCUUGUGAAUAUGAAACCAUUUCUAUCGACGAUGCCUUAAUGCUA